GACAGACGGUGCAAACGUUGUUCGGAAUCACUGGGCGUAAAGGGCGCGUAGGCGGGCAAGUAAGUCGGGCGUGAAAUCCCUAAGCUCAACCUAGGAACUGCACUCGAAACUGCAUGUCUUGAGUACCGGAGAGGAAAGCGGAAUACCUGGUGUAGAGGUGAAAUUCGUAGAUAUCAGGUGGAACACCAGUGGCGAAGGCGGCGUUCUGGACGGUAACUGACGCUGAGGCGCGAAAGCGUGGGGAGCAAACAGG
rnacentral:rRNA from 1 species